rnacentral:rRNA from 1 species
AUACGUAGGUGACAAGCGUUAUCCGGAUUUACUGGGCGUAAAGGGCGUGUAGGCGGUCUUGCAAGUCAGAAGUGAAAUUCCUGGGCUCAACUCGGGCGCUGCUUCUGAAACUGCAGGACUUGAGUGCUGGAGGGGAUAGCGGAAUUCCUAGUGGAGCGGUAAAAUGCGCAGAUAUCAGGAAGAACACCGGUGGCGAAGGCGGAUAUCUGGACAGUAAUUGAGACUGAGGCGCGAAAGCGGGGGGAGCAAACAGGCUGAUAUAACCUGGUAGUCCACGCCGUAAACGAUGAAUACUAGGUGUAGGGGGUAUCGACUCCCUCUGUGCCGCAGUUAACACAAUAAGUAUUCCGCCUGGGGAGUACGGCCGCAAGGUUGAAACUCAAAUGAAUUGACGGGG